ensembl:lncRNA
GGCAGGUAGCCUAGUGGUUAGAGGAGGCAGGUAGCCUAGUGGUUAGAGGAGGCAGGUAGCCUAGUGGUUAGAGGAGGCAGGUAGCCUAGUGGGUAGAGGAGGCAGGUAGCCUAGUGGGUAGAGGAGGGAGGUAGCCUAGUGGUUAGAGGAGGCAGGUAGCCUAGUGGGUAGAGGAGGGAGGUAGCCUAGUGGGUAGAGGAGGGAGGUAGCCUAGUGGUUAGAGGAGGCAGGUAGCCUAGUGGUUAGAGGAGGGAGGUAGCCUAGUGGUUAGAGGAGGCAGGUAGCCUUGUGGUUAGAGGAGGGAGGUAGCCUUGUGGUUAGAGGAGGCAGGUAGCCUAGUGGUUAGAGGAGGCAGGUAGCCUAGUGGUUAGAGGAGGCAGGUAGCCUAGUGGUUAGAGGAGGCAGGUAGCCUA